rnacentral:lncRNA from 1 species
CCGUCCCCACCUCUCCUUCCCACUCCUCCCGUCCUCCCCAGGCCCCCACCUGCGCCGCGCUCGCGCCUGCUUCUCUCCGCUUUCUCCGCUUUCUCCUCACAUCGCACAUCUCCGCUUUCUUCUCCUCGCGCCGUGCCACAGCCGCUACCUUCUCCUCGCGGCGUGUCGCCGCCUUCUCCUCCUCGCGCUGUGCCACCGCCUUUUCCUGCUGAAUCGCCGCCGAUCUGCACAUCCUCGACUCCGACGAACCCUCAACUCAUGGUGGCGCCGCCUCCUCUCCGACAGGUGCUGUGGAGGUCACUCAUAGCUCCUAGAUCCAGCGCCGCAUCCCGUCGUCAAGGUCCUCAUGCCACCGGCGAAGCCCACCUCCACGUGUUGCUCGCGCCCCUUCAACUCCUCUUCGGUUAGCAUGCACUUUUGUGGGGUUUUUUUUUCGAUCUAAAAUUGUGGAUGGUCUGUGUUUUAUUCAUCUCAAGAAUCUCGGUCGAGACCGAGACCGAAAAAACCGAGACCGAAUUGUCCGGUCUUCAAUUUUAUCGAGGACCGAUCGGUCUUGACUUUCUGAUGACCGAAAUUUCAUCCAGGACCGAAGACCGAGACCGAAUUGCUCGGUCAGACCGAAUGCCCACCCCUACCUAUAGAUAUCAGAUCCGAUACAUGAGUAUUAAAUCCGAUACAUAUAGAUAUCAGAUCCAGGACCUGAGUAUUUGUCACACCCCAAUCCGGCACCGCCGCACAACGGCACCUGACAGGAGCGUGUCGUAGAAAAAACGGCGCGAACCGCUUCCUUACGAAACCGCGAUCUCGGUACCAGUCCCAGGACAUAGUGCUGGUACCCACGGUGACAAAUAUGAAUCAUAGCAAUCCUUAAAAUAAAUAGAGGACUUAUUUACCUUAACUUAGGUUGCAGCUCAGACAGCCCGAGAAUGCAACCGACGACACGGACGAGGCGAACACCAACAACAGCAGCAGCAGCGGAACCAACGGACUAACACCCAACACCACAGGCGACGGCUGGGAACCAGGACGAAACCCUAAUCUUCACUUCACUUUAUCUUCUCUUCAGGGCGGAGGAACUAUAUAUAUAUAUUUAUAUAGAGCAAGAGUGAGUACUUUCGUACUCAGCAAGUCACGGGAACUUAGGUGUUUGAUGCAAGCUUGGAGGAGAGGCAAGGUUGUUUUACAAAUCUUUUAUUUGAAGAUAUUUUGAAAUCACUAAGUGAUUUAUUUCUUUCUAUGUUUGGGCGAAAAGAGACUUGCGUCUCGAUUCGACUUUAUGAGAUGCUUUUCAACAGCUCAUUUAGUAACGUACCGACCUCCCGGGUCAGAUCAUUACUUCUCGGCUCCCAGAGCUUUUUUCAUUUUCUCGGACUCCCAGAGUCCAGCUGCCCAGCAGCACAACAAUCCGCUUCCACUCGGGAAGCCUAGUCUAUGAUGCCCGCAGACAUCCCGAAUCACACAGAUUCGUUUCUGACCACUCAGGUCAUCCAUCUGCCACAUAGGCUGAUUCUGGUUACGAUUCCCACACCACAACAACUUUUCACAAAGCACAGGCAAACAAAUCUACGCAACGGGAACCACCUCACAUCCGCCCAUGACCGUGGGCACGGCUGUUCGAACAGUUUGUUAACCUCUGCAGAGGGGUACACUUUACCCACAAGACACGAACUUACUCCAGACACUGGCCGGUGUCAGAGGUUCGCGACAAAGCCUUUCUCAAGCCGACCCAGGGAUACCUCAUGCCACAUAGAAGGAUCAAAUCCUCACAUAAACAUAGGCCAUUUUAGGCGUGCACAAAUCAAACUCCAACCACCUCGAUCGGUAAUCUGGCAAGCUUCGCGUUCUUGCCUUACCAGGAACCCGGUUUGGCUCCAACCGACCCCGCCCCGGCGUUCCCAACUAUUGGCAUGCGAGGUUUCCCUGAACCGACUAGCUACUUAGCCAGGGUGUCCCAUUCCACCUUGUGGUUGCACUUUGAUUAUGUUCGAUGAGUUUCCCACAGGAAUCGGUCCUUAUAUGCGAAUACGGGACAGUGCCACAUAGGCACAACCCCCGCAUCGCGAGUUUUCACAAUUCAUUUUAUUUUCAAACACACCGACACCACAUGUCGGGUUUUGAAGGCUUCACAAACCCAUUUCCCAAGUUUUCGACAAGCAAUGGUGUAUGUGGGAUAUUUGGUAUACGCGCUCAGAGAGCACGAAUACCGAGGUACCACAAGGGUGGAGCGACAAGGAAUCAGGGUAAUACGACCUACGGAAAUUAGUGCGACUACUGGGUAGGUCCGUCGGUUUGGCACGCAAACCGAGGCCAAGCAAGUUAAGUGUGUGAUUCUAAUAAUGCAAGUUACAAACAAAAUAAUAAUGAUUUUCCAAUUAUAGGAGCAAUUGGUCAAAGGGUGACUUGCCUUGCUCAAAGUCUUCACGAAGCUUCACGAAUCUUCAAGAAAACCCGCGAUCGACGAAAAUCCGGUAACCGCAACUAUACGCAAACAACUGAAAACCUAAGCAAAAGACCAAAAGAGGGAUCCUAUUUAGACUAAUUAGUAGUGCCAUUAAAUAGAUCUCAAUUUUACGGAAUUACUGGAAGUGGAACGGAGGCAAUCGGACGAACGGAUAGAGGGAUAUGAAUUUUGGAAGUUUAAAGGAAUUUUUCUGGACAAGGAGACGAUUUGUCGGAAUUUUCUGGAAUACGAGAGAUAGUUUAUGGAAUUUAUAGAAAUAAUAUUCUCAAGAAUAUUAUUGACAUCCACUGACAUACGGGCUCGAGGGGACGAAUUAUUGGAAUCUCCGGAUUAAGAGGAUGGGUUUAUGGAAUUUGGAAUAUAGGAAAUGAUUUAUUGAAUUUCUAGAAAAGAGAAAUAUGUGUGGAGUAUUGAAAAAGAUAUUCCCAAGAAUAUCUUUGACUCAUUGACACGUGGGGCCAAUAAGAAGGUGAGAGAGAGAGGAGCAAUUGGAGGGAGUAAUUGUGGACUUUUAGCUCUUGGGUGAUGGACACUGGGCUUGGACAAAGGGAGUGUAUGUGGACUUUGUUUGUCUUACUUAUCAGGCUGAGGAGGAGGGUGGCUACUGGGCCAAGCCCAAGAGCAAGAGAGAGGGGGCGGCUGCUGACUGGGCGUCGGCUGACUUGGUCAAGUGGGGCCGACGGCUGAGGUGGCGCCAACGUGGACGUCACGUCGGAUGGGGAAGGGAGAGGAGGCCGGGCGGCUCAUCGGACGGCUCACGGCGUGCGGCGGGAUCCGGCGAACGGCGGCAAGCCGGAGGGGCGGCUAGCACUGGCGGCAGGAGGAGGAGAAGGGGAACUCAUUCCACGGCUCGGAUCAGGAAGACGACGCGCGACGACGGCCGGCGGCGGCGGCCAAUCUCGCCGACACGCCAACGUGGCCGCACGCGAGAAGAGCGAAGGGCACGCGGGCUCGGGCUUCACCGAACCGGUAUGGGGUUGCGACGCGCACGCGGUGACGCGGGACCUGAUGGUCACCGGCGACGCACGCGCGGUGGCGUUAUGCGGCGGCGGAAGGGGCGACACGGCGCGGAGGCAAAGGAGAAGGCCGGUGGCCUAGGGACAGUCAGGGGGAGCUCAAGGGGAUCUCCGGGAGCGUGGCGGCGAGAGGAAUCGGCUCGAGAGGUGCCGACGGCGGUCGAUUGCGGCGGCGGCAAUCACCGGCGAGCAAAAGGGGAAAACACAACGAGACGACGAGGAUUCGAUUCAAAGGGGUGGGAGCAUCUCCGGGGUUCAAGGAAUCCGUUUCUGGUGUCGGAUGGGGCGGAGAAGCACUGAGGAGGGCCGGCGACGAGCAGCGGCCUCCGGGAGCGGACGGUAAUGGCGGUGAGGCCAUGCCGGGCGACGGCGGUGCUAGGGAAUGGUUUGGGGAGGUCCUAGGGAGCUCAAGGACGGUGUUGGCGAGGGUGGUCGACGAGCUGGGGCCCGACGACGGCGCGCGACUGCGCGCGGCGGCGGAAACAGAGCAACGGCGAGGCGCGCGGCGCAUCGUGCGGCAGGCUAUGGCGUGCGGCGGCGGGCGCGGCAUAGCGAGCGGUAGGAGGAAAGGGUUCGGCGGGGAGCUCACCGACAAGAGGAAGCGGCGUCGGCGGAUCGGAGGGAGUCGUGGUGAGGUGGUCGCGAUGGUGGGACGGAACGGCACCGGGUGGGCGCGGCCGGGGAGGAAGAGAGGAGAGGUGGCGCCCGGAGCUCCUCGUCACGCGCCCACGCACGCACCGGUUCCUCCGGUGCUCGGCGGCGGACGGCGACGACGAGAUCGAGUCGAGCGGCAACAGGGCGGCGACGGUUGUUCGGCUACAAUGGCGCGGUGGGGGGCGAAAACGAGAGAGAUGGAGGGGAGGGGCUCGGCUGUGGUUUUAUAGGCGCGGGAUGUGGAGCUUCGAGGGGAAGGAACCGAGCACGGGCGAUCAAGGAGAGGCGGUGGCGGACUCGCGGUCAAGUUGUGACAGAGGCGGUCACGGGUGGCAAAGGAGGUGACGGUGUGGAUGCGUUGGGCGGCGAAGGCGGUGGAUCGAGCGGCGGAAAAUCGAACCGCGGGAGCGGGAGGAUUAGCACGGGCUGGCGCGGUCAAGUUGGGGGUGGCGAGCUGGCGCUGGCGUCUGCGUCUCUGCCUCCGAGCGCUUGCGGCCAAGGAGUGGAGGCAUGGCGUCGUUGCUUGGGAGGGAAAAAGAGAGGGAGGACGGUGGAAAGGGGGGGCUUUACCAUGCCGGUUUGGGAAAAAGGAGGUGGGAGAGGGAGAGGAGAGCGCGUGAGGCAGAGAGACGUGCUGCCUCCACGUCUUGGACGCACGCGCGCACAGGGUGGGGGCGAGCGGCAGGGCGGCAUGGGCGGCCGUGCGGCGCAGGCGGCCAGGGCUGAUGCGGCGGCGACCGGGCGGUCUGCCACGCGCGGGCGAGCGCGGGAAAGAGCGAAGGCGGUGGCGGGUUUUGGGCGGCGACGGCGGGAAUCGGCGCCGGGAGGGGAGAGAGCAGAGAGAGAGAGCGAAGACGGGAGAGAGAAAGAACGAGAGAGCGAGAGAGCUCUCUCUCGGCUCACAUGCGUGCAACGCACGUGCGAGGGGGGUUAAGAUGAUGGGCUGGGAGGGGAGAUGGGCCGGGGGAGAAAACGGCCCACAAAAAAUCCGAGGGAGGCAAAAUAGACUUUUUCGGAGGGGAUUGAUUCGAAGAGAAUUUGAACUUGGAAUUUGACUUAGAUUUUGGAAUUGGGAUCUCGAUGAGAGGAAGGAGUAGACGGAGGAUUCAAGAUGGGGUUUUGGAUAUUUUGGAUCUGGGGAAGUAUUUGGCGAUGAUUCAAAGAGAGGGAUAGAAUUUCAGAGUUUGAUUUGGAGACUUGAGUCGGAAGAGGAAUUUCGAGGGGGCAAAUUUGUGAUGGUGACGAGAGGGAUCAAGGACGGAUUUGAAUUGAGAUCUUGGCACAACUUAGACUCGCACACAAAGAACGAAAAUUUUCGCAAUUAGGAUUUUUGCCGAAUUAGUUUUUAACGCCUCACGAAAAGCGGAGCGUUACAGAUUGGUGUAACAUCCCGGCCUAGGGAUUAAUAGGAUUAAUAGAAUACUCAUAUCAACAAGUUGCAACUUCUUUUCCGGAAGCCAAUCUCCAAAGAACUCCAGGGUUAAGCGUGCUUGGCCUGGAGCAAUUUGGGAUGGGUGACCGACCGGGAAAUUCUUUCCGGGUGCACACGAGUGAGGACAAAGUGUGCUUCCGGGUGCACACGAGUGAGGACAAAGUGUGCAGAAAAGACAUGUGUUGGUCUGUGAGGGCAGUCUAUGACCUAUGAAAGCUAUCAGAUGUAAGCGGGCCCGGCCUAGGGGAGGCGGGACGUUACAGUAUUAAACCCGAUACCUAUAGAUAUCAGAUCCGGUACCUGAGUAUCAAACCCGAUACCUAUAGAUAUAUGACUCAUAUGUACCAUACCUAGUAUUUGGGUAUCAUGUAUGAUACAAUCUAAUACCUGAGUAUUACGUAUGAUACAUACAUGUAUCUUGUAUGGUAUCUGGUACUUGCGAGGCAUAUAUAAAUCAGGCAUUGUGGGAGCCCAACGUGUACUAGUCAAUCUCAAUACCAGAUAUAAUAGUGUAUCAUCAAAUAUUAUCAAGACAAAAAAAUCUUUUUAUUUUUCACAAACCUUGCUCCGUGACUCGGGAGGCAUAUUGCUCUGCCAAGACAUCCGGCCAUGCCUACCCAAGCUCAAUUAAUACUCCCUCCGGGUUGAUAAUACUUGUCGUUUUGGACAAGGGUGAGGUCAAACUUUAGAAUCUUUGAUUAUGAAUCAUUUUCAAAAUAUUUGUCUUUCAAAUAUAGUGACUACAUGUAUAGAUUAGUCUUAAAAAGUACUUUAAUAAGAUCAUAUAUUUGUUAAUACUUUUUUACAUAUUAUGAUAGAAAAUAAUGGUCAAAGUUGUUUUUUUAAGACCUUGCCUUUAUCCAAAACGAUAAGUAUUAUCAACCCGGAGGGAGUAUAUCACAACUCAGAGUGCUCAACUCAGCAGCUCUCCUGAGACCUGGUCAUUGAGACUAAAUUAAUAUGCAGGUAGAAUGGUCCAAGCUGGUGCACUUGCACUAGUGGAAACACGGAAUAGCUCACUUUUGGUGUGGAGCGGCAUGUGCGACUUGGGUUCGGAAAUGGUAGUUGGGAGCGAUGGAGCGCUAGAUCGAUGCAGGGGAGGUGAUGUCAGUACUUAUCCUGUUGAAACAGAAUCCCGUUGUCUAGCCGUUUUUAUUUUUAAAGGGUUAAUUGGAUUCAUACCAUUACAAAUUUAUCUAUUAAAAAAAAUACCAUUACAAUUCAUUUAUCUAAGGUGAAGGCGUCAAAGUCCUCCUCCCGCUUCUUCUUCGCCUCCUCGGGCUCGUCGCGGCAGCG